UACGGAGGGUGCAAGCGUUAUCCGGAUUCACUGGGUUUAAAGGGUGCGUAGGUGGGCUGGUAAGUCAGUGGUGAAAUCUCCAGGCUUAACUUGGAAACUGCCAUUGAUACUAUCAGUCUUGAAUACCGUGGAGGUCAGCGGAAUAUGUCAUGUAGCGGUGAAAUGCUUAGAGAUGACAUAGAACACCCAUUGCGAAGGCAGCUUACUACGCCUAUAUUGACGCUGAGGCACGAAAGCGUGGGGAUCAAACAGG
rnacentral:rRNA from 1 species